AAUGAACGUUGGCGGCGUGGAUUAGGCAUGCAAGUCGAGCGAGAACCCAGCAAUGGGGGACAGCGGCGAAAGGGACAGUAAUGUGUAGAUUAUCUGCCCGCGGGUCCGGGAGAGCUGCGGGAAACUGCAGGUAAUACCGGAUAACAUCUCCGGAUCAAAGGUGUGAUUCCGCCAGAGGAUGAGUCUGCAUCCUAUUAGCUAGUUGGUAGGGUAAUGGCCUACCAAGGCUUUGAUGGGUAGCAGGUGUGAGAGCACGACCUGCGUCAUUGGGACUGAGGCGCUGCACAGACACCUACGGGUUGCUGCAGUCGAGAAUCUUCGGCAAUGGGCGCAAGCCUGACCGAGCGACGCCGCGUGUGGGAUGAAGGCCUUCGGGUUGUAAACCACUGUCAGGGGGGAUGAAAUGCAGGUGGGUUCUCCCAUCUGUUUGACAUAGCCUCAGAGGAAGGACGGGCUAAGUUCGUGCCAGCAGCCGCGGUAAGAC
rnacentral:rRNA from 1 species